ensembl:lncRNA LINC02295 long intergenic non-protein coding RNA 2295
CAUAUCUGAUUUUCGAGCCUUGCUUUCUGGUACCUUUAACACCUGUAGCUCCCUGCCUGGCUCAGUUUACUUCUGGGUUCAGCUGCCUGCCAAGACGCCAGGUGACAAUCGGGGCUCUCCAAGGCCGCUCCUGCCAUUGUCUCCAGCUGUGGGGCCCAAGAAACCACACACGUGAGAUGCACAGUCUGAUAUGGCCGGCUCUGCCCCUCUGGGUUUUAUAUCUUUUCAAAGUGAUUCAUUGAAAGCUGUGGCUGUUGUCAGCUGGGUGCUGGGAGCACUGAACAAAUUCCCUGCCUAGGUUGUGUAGACAACGUGGGGAAUGGGAGACCCUUGGGAUCCUGAUGGUCUCGCCAGGCCUACUGAGACAAGUGUCCAGUGCCAUCGGACCUGUGCUCAUGCAGUUACUUACUACCAUGUGAAUCUGACCAUCAAAAUUCUUCCUACAUUUCAAUUCCCCCAACUCUAAAAUGAGGAGGUUGGGCUUGAUACCAUCUCAGAACUCUUCCAGCUAUAAACUGCAAACCAAUCAGGUAUUAAUUAAUUCAUUCAUCCACUCUUUACAAGAUGCACCCUGAUCUGCAGAAGACAUUCCUGUGUAUAACAGAGUCAUCAUAUUCUUGGGUUUGAUUUGUUCUUUUUUAAAAUAUGGAAUUUUUGUUUAAUUCCAAAUGGUUUUCUUUAUUCUUUUUGUUGUUGUACAAUUUACCCUCAACCAAAGAAAGAAUAACGAUAAUUUGGAGAGUUAAACUUAUUUCAUAGCUUUAAAUAGGUGUGUGAUUUCCACAGUGACUGACGUCUUACCUGUAUUUUGAGAUAUUUGGAAAUCUUUACCUGUUUCCCCAGUGGUCAUGGACAGCCUUGGGCUUGACUUGGUUUAGAUUCUCAGACACUGUGGUUUGGACUGGGCUGGGGCUGGGCCCAGCCUCUCAAGGCUUUGAUUAAUCCACUGCACCUCUCAUUUUCCUGACUAUAAAAGAGAAGCUACAGUUCUGAAUAAGCAUCUUGCAGAAGAAAGAAGCCAAAGCAGAAAGUAUUAAACUUUCAUCCAGCACCAUAGGAGAGAUGUAGUUAUUAAAUUUCAGCUGCUUAUCAAACUGA